rnacentral:rRNA from 1 species
GAUGAACGCUAGCUACAGGCUUAACACAUGCAAGUCGAGGGGCAGCAUGAACAAAGCUUGCUUUGUUUGAUGGCGACCGGCGCACGGGUGAGUAACGCGUAUCCAACCUGCCCCGUACUCGGGUAUAGCCCAGCGAAAGCUGGAUUAAUCCCCGAUGUCACCUUUAUGGUGCAUGCCAUAUUGGUUAAAGUUAUUCGGUACGGGAUGGGGAUGCGUCUGAUUAGCUUGUUGGCGGGGUAACGGCCCACCAAGGCAACGAUCGUUAGGGGUUCUGAGAGGAAGGUCCCCCACACUGGAACUGAGACACGGUCCAGACUCCUACGGGAGGCAGCAGUGAGGAAUAUUGGUCAAUGGGCGGGAGCCUGAACCAGCCAAGUAGCGUGAAGGAAGACUGCCCUACGGGUUGUAAACUUCUUUUGUUUGGGAAUAAAAGACGCUACGUGUAGCGUUGUGCAUGUACCUUACGAAUAAGCAUCGGCUAAUUCCGUG